UGACAGUAACAAGGUUUAUAUUAAAUUUGCAACAAGGUUCAUUUUAAAGAAAGACUCGAAUACAUCAAAUAGUAAUACCUAGCAAAAUUUGCAAUAGUAUUGAGAAUUUCUUCAAGCUCUGGAUCGAUCCCACAUUUCUUGCAUCAAGUCAUCCCUAAAUUGAGUCCAAGCAUUUGUACUCACAACGUGAUCAAUCAUUUCUCCUUUAUUGCUAUUUUCUUCUGUUAGGAGGACAUCAGGCAUCUCAUCUUCAAUUGGAUCAAUUGACAUCUCUCUUUUAAUAUGGUUAUAAAAAAGAGCACACGCAUUAACGAUUCUUGCUUGUAUUUUUAUGGGAUAAAAUAAUUUCUCUCUAAGAAUCACCUUCUCAUUUUAAGAAAAUCGAAGCAUCUCUCGAUGACAUUUCUAGUAGAUGAGUGCCUAUAGUUAAAGUAUUCUUGUGGUAUUGUCGGUUGAUGAUUUUGUCUCCAA
rnacentral:lncRNA from 1 species